rnacentral:rRNA from 1 species
AUUCCAGCUCCAAUAGCGUAUAUUAAAGUUGUUGCAGUUAAAAAGCUCGUAGUUGGACUUGUGGUGCUCCCUGAGGUCCAAUUUUGGUUCUCUUGGGGAGCGCCAUCCUUGGGUGGAUCCUGUGUGGCAUUAGGUUGUCGUGCAGGGGAUGCCCAUCGUUUACUGUGAAAAAAUUAGAGUGUUCAAAGCAGGCUUAUGCCGUUGAAUAUAUUAGCAUGGAAUAAUAAGAUAGGACCUUGGUACUAUUUUGUUGGUUUGCGCACCAAGGUAAUGAUUAAUAGGGACAGUUGUGGGUAUUCGUAUUCCAUUGUCAGAGGUGAAAUUCUUGGAUUUCUGGAAGACGAACUAAUGCGAAAGCAUUUACCAAGGAUGUUUUCAUCG